rnacentral:rRNA from 1 species
AUUGAACGCUGGCGGCAUGCCUUACACAUGCAAGUCGAACGGUAACAGGUCUUCGGAUGCUGACGAGCGGCGAACGGGUGAGUAAUACAUCGGAACGUGCCCGAUCGUGGGGGAUAACGAAGCGAAAGCUUUGCUAAUACCGCAUGAGAUCUACGGAUGAAAGCAGGGGACCGCAAGGCCUUGCGCGAACGGAGCGGCCGAUGGCAGAUUAGGUAGUUGGUGGGAUAAAAGGUUACCAAGCCGACGGUCUGUAGCUGGUCUGAGAGGACGACCAGCCAAACUGGGACUGAGACACGGCACAGACUCCUACGGGAGGCAGCAGUGGGGAAUUUUGGACAAUGGGCGAAAGCCUGAUCCAGCCAUGCCGCGUGCAGGAUGAAGGCCUUCGGGUUGUAAACUGCUUUUGUACGGAACGAAAAGACUCUUUCUAAUAAAGAGGGUCCAUGACGGUACCGUAAGAAUAAGCACCGGCUAACUACGUGCCAGCCGCCGCCGUAAAAC